rnacentral:rRNA from 1 species
AUUGAACGCUGGCGGCAGGCCUAACACAUGCAAGUCGAGCGGAUGAAGGGAGCUUGCUCCUGGAUUCAGCGGCGGACGGGUGAGUCAUGCCUAGGAAUCUGCCUGGUAGUGGGGGAUAACGUCCGGAAACGGGCGCUAAUACCGCAUACGUCCUGAGGGAGAAAGUGGGGGAUCUUCGGACCUCACGCUAUCAGAUGAGCCUAGGUCGGAUUAGCUAGUUGGUGGGGUAAAGGCCUACCAAGGCGACGAUCCGUAACUGGUCUGAGAGGAUGAUCAGUCACACUGGAACUGAGACACGGUCCAGACUCCUACGGGAGGCAGCAGUGGGGAAUAUUGGACAAUGGGCGAAAGCCUGAUCCAGCCAUGCCGCGUGUGUGAAGAAGGUCUUCGGAUUGUAAAGCACUUUAAGUUGGGAGGAAGGGCAGUAAGUUAAUACCUUGCUGUUUUGACGUUACCAACAGAAUAAGCACCGGCUAACUUCGUG